rnacentral:lncRNA from 1 species
CAUCCGCGGUGGUCCUGGCUCUACUGCAGGCGCAGGUGCCACCCUUGGGGCGCGAAGGACGAAAGUCCAGGUCCCCUCACAGAGCUCGCACCUAAGGAACUAUGGUGCCCAGGAGCCUGCUACCUCCACUUCCCGCCUGCAGGGUCGAGGCCCCGGAGUCCGCAUGCUCUUGCUGCGCGCCCUACAGCCUGGACUUCCAUCCCACUCGCCUUCUCCACCCAUGAGGGACCACGUGAGAUCACCGCCCUCCACAGGUCCGCUUCUCUUCCGCCGCGCGCAGGCGCACGCCUGCGCCUGCGCACUCUGAGCACAGGCGCCGGCACCGCCCGCUGCCUGCUGCCUGGGCUGCUCCCGCUGGACUGCAUUUCCCAGAAGCCACCGGGCUCGCAUCCCCCUCGACCCCUGAGUCCUUUUCCGGUGUCCAAACAGCUGUGGUCCCUACGUGGUGAGACCUAUCCAAAGUGCUGCCAGUCUCUUAAAAAAAAAAAAAAAGAUACUGAGAGCAAAAAGAAUUUUUGUUACACAUCUAAAAGUUAAAGUUCAGGUGAGUUUGUAUAUCCUCAUUAUUCAUAAAAUGCACUUUAAUUGUAAAGUUAUGAGACCCUUUCUUUUCCUCCUUCUGAAAUGUCCUGCCUAACAGUGACAUUAUCUGUGAAUUGUGUGUGAGGUCAUGCAGGUGGAUCAUCCUUCUCAGGACCCCCAAGUCCUUCUCCCCAUAAUUUAAUCUGUUGCCUACCGUUAGCUAUUAUGUUUCUAAUUUUUGAUUACCAACUAAAUUAGUCUAUAGUGAACAUCAUUAUGCAUAGAUCUUUAUGUCCUUUUAGAGUCAUUCCCUAAGGAUAAAUUUCUAGUUUUGAAAUUUGAGUCAAAUAUCAGAUAUUUACAAUAUAUCCAUAUGCUUGUACUCGUUGGAAUACAAUGACAAAAAGAUAUAGUUGCUAUCCUCAAAUUACUUGUCAUCCAGUAAGGAAAUGAAAUCAAAGUAGGAAUAAGAUAGACUAUGUGAGAGGCCACGAGGAGAAAUUCAGGUGAUCUGCUUUAGGAGUUCACAGGAAGAGACACCAUUCUGUCUCUAGCAGCCCUGUCACAAUAUGAUCACAUUAUGCCAACUCCCUUGUGUCACCUUACCACACUUUGUUUAUCCAUUCUUGUGACAACGGGUUGUUUUCCGCAUUUGACUGUUAGGAAUAAACCUUCUAUGAACACUCUUGUACA